rnacentral:lncRNA from 1 species
GUCCCGGGGAGACCCGGACUCGCGUGUGGGCUCGUGCGCGGGAGGAGCUGCGGGAUUGGGGAGCCGCCAGCUUUUUCUCAUUUUCCCCCGUGGCAUACUUAAUUGCCCGGAAUUCCUACAUGUUUGCGAAGGAAGGUCUCAAAUCCACAAUCUUCCAGUGCUUCUUAGGGCUGGCUGCCAGUCAAUCUCUGAUUUACCAGGUGCUUCUCCACGAAGCCAGACUCCUUGGAGAGGGGGUCUUCCGCUUCAACACGGUUGGGGUUGAGGUGGAAGAGGACACAUUGAUACUGUCCUUAGACUGUUACUACACCUCGUUUUUAAAAACGAAGUGAUUGACAUAAGUGACCACCUGGAAGUAUUGGUGAAAAAGCCCUAACCGUAUGGUUUGCAAGCAUACAAAGGCAGAAGAGGGCUUUUCUUUUGUAGGGAGUAGGAAAGAAGAGUAGGAAAAGUUAGGGGAGAGGAGAACUUUCCCCCUGAGGUCCGCCUGUGCUUGGGUAACGCUAAAG